rnacentral:rRNA from 1 species
GAUGAACGCUGGCGGCGUGCCUAAUACAUGCAAGUCGAGCGAACAGACGAGGAGCUUGCUCCUCUGACGUUAGCGACGGACGGGUGAGUAACACGUGGAUAACCUACCUAUAAGACUGGGAUAACUUCGGGAAACCGGAGCUAAUACCGGAUAAUAUAUUGAACCGCAUGGUUCAAUAGUGAAAGACGGUUUUGCUGUCACUUAUAGAUGGAUCCGCGCCGCAUUAGCUAGUUGGUAAGGUAACGGCUUACCAAGGCGACGAUGCGUAGCCGACCUGAGAGGGUGAUCGGCCACACUGGAACUGAAACACGGUCCAGACUCCUACGGGAGGCAGCAGUAGGGAAUCUUCCGCAAUGGGCGAAAGCCUGACGGAGCAACGCCGCGUGAGUGAUGAAGGUCUUCGGAUCGUAAAACUCUGUUAUUAGGGAAGAACAAAUGUGUAAGUAACUAUGCACGUCUUGACGGUACCUAAUCAGAAAGCCACGGCUAACUACGUG